GUAACGAGAGUGGUUAAAUAGAAAGAGUUCGAAUGUCUGUAAUGCAAGGGAAUGUUAUUCCCGGAGUUGUAAAGAUACAUUUGACCUUUUCCCUGGAAAAUAAUUAGUCGCCGAAUUAUGUACAGAGGAGGGGUUGGGGGUUGUGGAAAAGGUACUGUUCGACUAGUGACGGCUGGCACCGUCACAAGUGGCACCCGAACAGGGACCUGAGCACGGAGGACAAGGUGAAGGACGCCGCCGGAUUGUGAGCUCGGAUAACCACCAGUUUCUGGGGUGAUGGUUCCCAGUCACUGCCAGAACUCCUGGAACAAUUACACGCCUGAUCUCCAUCCAGUGUACCCCAGUGAAAUGGAUACUGUUUCACAACAAAAUAUUAGCCGUUGCUAUGGCAGCUGUUGCUUUGUUGCCAUGCAACCAUUUCUACUCAGCUAUUCUCCACUCCAUCAACAUUAAGCUCCUCUUUGCCUCAUUCUACCUAAGCCUCUCCCACAACCCUGGAUAAAAACCCAGCACAAUAAACUUGGCUCAGACUCUCCCUUGGAAUUACUCUAGGAAGUCUUGCCUGGAACCCCCAA
rnacentral:lncRNA from 1 species